rnacentral:lncRNA from 1 species
AAACUUAUUACCUUAAUCAAAAUAAGAUUUUCUAUUAAAUAUAUACAUAUAUGGUCCUUAAUUCUCUCUUCUAUAAAAAUAGAAUGAAAUAGAUUGGAUGCUGUUAGACUAGCAGCUUAACACUACACAUUUUAUAAUUCUUUUUGUUAGUAUCAUGAUAAGCAAUAGUUUUUAAACUCAAUAUCAACUUGUUCUGUUUUAAUUUCAAAGUGAGAUUGAGAGACUUUCAGGUGAAAUAUCCAAUUAUUUGAAUGUCACCAAUUUCUGGUAUGAAGAGUCUGAACUUCUGAACCAAGAUAAAAUAACACCACGUGAACAAAGAAAACAUGCCAGCACUCAGACAGAUGGUGCAUUUGGAAUGGAAAAGAGGUAAGGUCAAGCUCACAGUCUUAAUUCAUUUUGAAAUUGCUUUGAUGUGAGAAAUUCAGAGACAUACCUGCUAGAGUUUCCACAUGGAAUUAAAACUAUUUAGGCCAUGAAGAAUCAGGUAGUUACUAUGAAAUAAUCCUCAGUUGUUAACAUGCUCCAUCCUUGACACAGCAUAAAAUGUAAUUCAACAAAUCCAUAAAAUCUAAUUUAUUUGGACUGGAAUUCUAAUUAAAUAAAGAGAUGUAGUUAACAAAGGUUGAAGUUAUCCAGCCUCUGUGCAAAAAACAUUGCAGGUUAUGACGAGUACAUAGUUUCACAUUCUCCUGUUCAGUGAACAUACCUUUGUAACUUUGUGACACAUAAUUAUUUUUGUAUUAUUUUGAUUCACUGGCAUUAACCUUUUCCCAGUAUUUUGUUACUUUUUAUUUAACCAAUUGCUAAGUCUGUCAUUUAUUUACGGUAAUUUGUUUCUGAGUAU